AGACAACUAACUGCUAUUCAAUCUAUAACAGUGAAAAAAGUUUUUUGUUUUUAAAUGCAAGCUAUUGUGACACCUGUGAGUGAGUGGUGGCACUGGGCACAGAAUCCACUGUGAGCCUGACACACCCGCUUUAAGGACACUGACUGCUAUUCAAUCUAUAACAGUGAAAAACAUUUUUUGUUUUUAAAUGCAAGCUAUUGUGACACCAGAUAUGAG